rnacentral:miRNA from 1 species
UGUUUCAGCUCAGUAGGCAC